ACAAGGCGAAACUCUGUCUCAAAAAAAAAAGCAAAAAUCAGCUGGGCGUGACGGCGCACACCUGUAGUCCCAGCUACUCAGAGGCUGAGGCAGGAGAACUGCUUGAACUCGGGAGCCAAGAUGGUGCCAUUAAGCUCCUGCCUGGGUGACACAUUUCUCCUCCUUUACCACCCCCCAGCCCCAGAGUUUCUGUGGCUGACAGUGUACGCUUCCAGAGCUGCUUCUGUUACAAAUAUAUCGCUGGCCUAUUUAUUUAAAAGAUCAUAAUGUACAACUUGUUCUCCACCUUUUUUUUAAGCCUAAAAUGGUUUUGCCAUGUUCCCAGGCAGUACGCAGAGGCUACCCUCUUUAGCUGCUAGGAAGACUUCCCUGUGUCGGCAGGAACAAGUGUGCUCACCGCCCCCACCCCCCAACCCCCCCGUAGACCCCUGUGGAGGGCAUUUGGGGUUUCCCAGCUUUGUGCAAAUGGGAAAAGGUUAUGUGGUUUUUUGUUUUUUGUUUUUGUUUUUGUUUUGAGACAGAGUCUGUCUCUGUCGCCCAGGCUCGUUGCUCACUGCAACCUCUGCUUCCUGGUUUUAAGCAAUUCUCCUGCCUCAACCUCCGGAGCUUAGAUUACAGGCAUGUGCCUCAGCCUCCCAAUUUGCUAGGAUUACAGGCAUGAGCCAUCGCACCCGGCGGGGUGUGGAUUCUAAUGUAAUAGCUAAUGUGCCUUCCAAAGAGGCUGUACCAAGUCACACGUUCCUGGAUUUAUUUUGUGGUAAUAGGGCUUUAAAAAGUAUUUUUAUUUAUUUAUUUUUAUUUUAUUUUAUGUUUGAGAUGGAGUUUUGCUCUUACCCAGGCUGGAGUACAAUGGCGCGAUCUCGGCUCACUACAACCUCCACCUCCCGGGUUCAAGCGACUCUCCUGCCUCAGCCUCCCGAGUAGCUGGGACUACAGGUGCCCACCAUGCCCAGCUAAUUUUUUGUAUUUUUAGCAGAGACAGGGCUUCACCAUGUUGGCCAGGCUUGUCUUGAACUCCUGACCUCAGGUGAUCCACCCGCCUCUGCCUCCCAAAGUGCUGGGAUUACAGGCUUGAGCCACCGCACCCGGCCUAAAAUAGCUUUCCAGCAGUCCUUUUGGUCCCAGUAGGUAAAGCCUCAAGGCAGGCUCUAGAGUGCCAGCCCUCUCUGACCCAGAGGUGAGGGUUAAUGUUAAUAGGAUCCCUUUCAGCGAAAGUUAGGGCCACACUUCUCAUGUCCCUAAGCCAUUUGUACUUGUUUUUUUUCUCUGACCCACCUGUGUAUGUGGUGAGUAUGUGUGUAUGUGUUGCUUUUUUUUUUUUUUGGAAAGUGAUUUUCAGUAACAGAAAGGGAUGUGCUCUCUGCAAGAGUGAGUCUAUUCUUGCCCCUGUGUGUAAGGCAAGAAGGAGAAGUUGUGUUCUCUGAACAGGCAGACCCUGCUGAGAGAGGGAGGUGUGUUGGGGUUCAAUCAUUCUGGUGGGAAAGAUAUUAGAGAUAGUUAUAGAAAUAGACACAAAUCUUGGAAGGCCGAGAAGUUGGCAUAACUUUGGUAAUUAGCUCUGGCUGAAGGCGGCCUGAUCCCUUUACCUUUAGUUAAACAAAUAAACAUAGAAAUAAAAGAAAGGCAGAGUAGUUUACCUAGCUAGCUUGUUUACUCAUAUAAUCUUAAGACCCUGGGUGCUUAAAUGCUUUUUACUCGGGAAGUCCACAAUGUCUGUUACACUCUAAUGGUGUUGACUCAAGCUUUUGUUAAUUAAUCAUACUGAAUAAAUGCGCGUCUGACUAGCUGAUCAGGGCCAAGUAGCAACUGUUUACAGGACUCAGCCGGGAGCCUAUAAACGGCUGGGACCCUCAGCUGCACUGGCAGAGCAGAAUAUCUGUGUGUCUGUACUUUAUUCAUCUGUCAUGGGGUCACGGGUCUGUAACGGACAGACUCCCUGCAGCUGGUGCCCCCUCUAAAGGAGUGCUGUCGCAGAGGUGGGCUUGGCUGAGGCUGGUAGAACUCCAAGCUGAUUCUCAGGUCAUUCUGACUUCAGUUCGGAAAGGGCAGUGGAUGUCCCAGGAAGGGAGACCCUGCCCUUGUAGGGGGACUUCUGACAGGUGCAGGGGGCAGCCUGGAGCCCGGACCAGUGGGCAGGAUGGGCGCUCCAGGGUGUGAAGGAGAGGCUGGGCGUUUGAUCUGUGGACAUUGUUCCUGGAGCAGUGAAAAGCCAUAGAAAGUGAUUUUAUUUAUUUAUUUAUUUAUUUAUUUAGAGACGGAAUUUCGCUCUUUUUGCCCAGGCUGGAAUGCAAUGGCACGAUCUCGGCUCACUGCAACCUCUGCCUCCCGGGUUCAAGCGACUCUCCUGCCUCAGCCUCCCGAGUAGCUGGGAUUACAGGCAUGCACCACCAUGCCUGGUUAAUUUUGCAUUUUUUAGUAGAGACAGGGUUUCUCCAUGUUGGCCAGACUGGUCUCAAACUCCUGACCUCAGGUGAUCCGCCCACCUCGGCCUCCCAAAGUGCUGGGAUUACAGGCGUGAGCCAGUGUACCCAGCUGAUUUUUUUUUUUUUUUAAAUGAUCACACAUAAGGUUGGGUUCCAGAAUUUUCUGCUUAGGAAGGGAAAGGGCACCUUUUACCCCCUUAGUCCUUGAGCCUGAUCCUACAGAAGGUACAGUGGCUUUCGGGUCUGGAUCCUCAGCCCUCGGGCCUCUGAGGCUGCCUUGGGAGAGGGUACGGAUUUGAGAACAAGGUUCUCAGUUUUGCUGGCUGUCUUUUCAGUCGCCCAGGCACGUCCCACAGAAAGUUUCUUUUUGUGAAAUAAUCGUGUGAAAUGGGUUGGCCUCGGUGCUUAGAACCAUCCCACUGACGGUGAGUGGAAAAAAUCCCUUGCUUGUCAGUCUGGUUAGGAGAUGAGGUCCUUUCACGCGUGUCUUCAUGUUGGUGCGCUUUUCACUGGUCAUAAAGAUGAGAGGAACCAGCUCCAUGUGUCUCUUUCUGGAUGGCCAUAUGGAACUUGGCAUGACAGUAGGGUUGUGUGGGUUAUUUAUUGCUUGAUGAAGACUUGGCAGCGUGUACUGGAAAUUCAAGCGAUGCUGGGUUUUAUCAGAAGGCGCAAAGGCUGGAGUUGAGAUUCUGGCUGGGCCUGGAUUUGGUUUGGGCAGUUUAUCUGACCUCCCUGGGCCCCAGCUGGCUCUGCAUAGUGAGUAGGGUAGCCUCUACUCAAAGUCCCGGCCACAGCCGUGGACCGGCACUGGCCAAGGCGAGCUCUCAGUAAGUGGGAACUCACAGGUUCAGAAGAUGCUGUGGGCCUCAGGGGCUUCCACCUCCAGGGAGGUGCUCUCAGAAGAAGGGCCUGAUGGGCUCACCGCAUCGUGGAGAAGAUACCCCGGCUCAGUCUCAGUCAGUUCCCCAAGCGCACAGGUGUUCGGGAAGUGGCCUGCAGACAGCUCCUCCAUGCCUUGAAAGCAGAAGUAGCCCCCUCCUGUUUCCCUGUCCCAGUUGGGUGAAGCAUGGGAGCCUGCUGGGACAGUCCCAGGCGUGCCGUCACGCAGGGGCAGGCCGUCCAUCGGUCUCGCGGGACUCUGGCUGCGGGUGGCUGAGGACACCUGGCCUCAUGGGAGACGGUGCCAGGGUCCCUGGAGUGAGGUGGGUCUCCUCCCCAUGGCUGUCACUCCUCGGCAGAUUGGUGUGGGCGGGUGUGCGUUUAGGAACCUGUGAGCUGAGACAUUGUCCAGCUAGCAUCAGGCCAAAAGCAACCAAGGCUUUGAGAAAUCCACCUGGCCCCGCCGAGCCUGUUUCUGGCUGUGGAAUGGGAUUUGCCCCAGCGCAAGGUGUCUGGGAAUCGCAGGCCUCCGCGUGUGAAGGUGCCAGUUGCACGGGCUGUGACCGUCCCUCCACAUGCUUGUAUCUCCUGCUCACUGUGCACGUUGAGCAGCCCUCAGCCUCACUGUCUUCUCCUUUGGCAAAAAGAAGGAAGGAGCAAGGGAACAAAGAGAGGGAGGGAAGAGCCAGAGACAGGAGCCAGGGUUUCCUUUAGUCUGGAGCUCUGGGUGUGAGAUGAUGUCACCCACCCACACUCGGCACAGGCCCAGGGUCGGGGGGCUGUGGGUGGAAGUAGGAAUCGCCACAACUGUCUCUGAGCCCCUCCCUAAAGGGUGAAGGGUGUAAGGGGUGGGUUUUGAUGGCUGUGGGCUUAGCUGUGGUCAGUGGACUCAAAGGCCAGUUGGCCAGUUAGCAGUGACCAGAGAGCAGAGGGGGCCUGUGUGUGUUUUGCCCCAGGGUCUUCAGGCUGCCUGGCUGCCUCUAUCCGCCCCCCUGGGGUGUCCAGCACCCCCCUGGGGUAUCCAGCACCUGUAACCUGUAGCCCCGCUUCUCAGUCCAGGCCUGUUCCAGGGCCCCCCCGGGGUAUCAAGCACCUGUAGCCUGUAGCCCCACUUCUCAGUCCAGGCCUGUGUAAAACCUGGCCCCGGGUUGGGUUUUGGGAUCCCUGCACCCCUCCAUCCCCAACCCCGCACAGCUGGGACCCUGGCUCAGCUAGCAAAGGUUCUGCGUGUUUAAGGAGCUGGGUGGGCCCCAGAGCUCAAGCCGUGGGCUCAUUGCAGGCGGCAGCCAGUGAUUAGUGCUGAAAUCCGACUUUCCCAGCCAGACAUGAAAGUGCUGCCGGCGCCUGGGCAGGUCACGCUGCAUCACGGGAUUCGGGGCAAGGCCGUAGGGGGAGUUCACAGAAGCACAUGACCUGAGCCACACAGGAGAGCCUAACGGGCACUUCUGACCCUUUUUUCUUGGGUCACAGACCUCUUUCAUAAUCCAGCAGAAUGUGCAGAAUCUUGUCCAGGAAUGUGUACCAGCCGCCUUCACACAGAAGGCUGGGCUGCGCAGACCCCCGAGGGCCCAGGCCAGGGUGAGAGCCACCCCCUGGAGAGGGGUGUCCAAGGUAGGGCACAUGCUUGCACCACCUCUUGGCACCUCUUGGCCACCACUUUCCACUCCAGCCUUUGAAGCCAGUGAUAAUCCCCAAUUUACAGCUGGGGAAACUGAGGCAGGAGCGAGCCAGGAGCCAGGGGCCACAGUGCCCACCUCUACACUGAGGCCACCGUUUGUCAUCAGGCAUAGGGGAGCACACAGCCACGCCUGGGGAGUCUGGUGGGUGCCAGGGGUCUGGGGAGGUGUCAGCAAGACUGGGUGGCCCAGUCGGCCCAGGUAAGGACACAGGUGGGUCAGAGGCUCAUCUGUGUUCCCCAGCAACCCCUAGGGGCCCUUCGCACUCCUCCACCCUUCUCCAUCCUUCCCAGACUCACAUCCAGGUAUCCUGGACAGCCACAGGGUUCUGCCCCCCAGUAGGCCUGGCCCUCCCUGGAGCAUCACCUGGAUGGCUGGCCAUGGGCAGGCCUUGCCUGGCCCAUCUACAGGGACAGGGCAUGUGUAUGCACGCAGAUUGGUACUGUGUGCCCGCGUGCUCCCCAGAGGCCCUGUGGCAGCACCCCCUUCCUGCCGCUGCCCUUUUCCAACAGGAGGGCCCCCCCUUAGCGCCUCCUUCCCUGAUUGUGGCCAAAUCCUGAACUCUCCCUCUGGAAGGCGGACCCUCCGGGGUGGCCACAGCACCUGCCCUCCAGGAGCGUGGGAGGCGUCUCUUUGUCUGCAUCCCUGGCCGUCAGACCGCCCCAGGUGGGGACCAUUCUCUGGCAUUGCCCCCCCUCCCCUGCCCUAGGAUUUGCCCACUAUGUGAGGAAUGAGCACCAACCUCCUAUUCUGGGCCUUGGAGCGUGACGCCCGCAAACUCAAUCCCUGCUGAGUCAUCCUGACCUCGGGGUGGGCCAGCAUCUGUCACUGCUGAGACACUAUAUGUGUGAGCUGCUUGUUAACGAGAAAGCCAGAGUCUGUAAAAUAUUUGAAGAGAUUUAUCCGGAGUCAAACGUGAGGACCAAGGCCUGGAGGCCCAGAGGACAUGUGCCCCAGGGGGUGGGCCACAGCUGGAGUUCAUACCUUGUACAAGGACAGAAGUUACAGGCAGACAUCAGUCAGUAUGAAAGAUUGACUUGAUGCAAAACAUCACAAAGGCGAUUUUUGAGAACUGAUAGUGCAUCAGCUGACCCACGUAAUUUAAAAUAUUCUUCAUCCAGAGAUAGAGGUGGUUCUUCCUCUUACGGACUGCAACCUUCAAAUUCACCUGUGGUGUCUCGGCAAAGGCACGAUGAUACCAGAGUCCACGCUGACAUACAGAAUGACGAAAAGGAGAGAUCGAUGUCUUAUUGUGAUGAGUCUCGACUGUCAAAUCUUCUUCGGAGGAUCACCCGGGAAGACGACAGAGACUGAAGAUUGGUCACUGUAAAGCAGUUGAAAGAAUUUAUUCAGCAACCAGAAAAUAAGCUGGUACUAGUUAAACAAUUGGAUAAUAUCUUGGCUGCUGUACAUGAUGUGCUUAAUGAAAGUAGCGAAUUGCUUCAGGAGUUGAGACAGGAGGGAGCUGGCUGUCUCGGCCUUCUUUGUGCUUCUCUGAGCUAUGAGGCUGAGAAGAUCUUCAAGUGGAUUUUUAGCAAAUUUAGCUCAUCUGCAAAAGAUGAAGUUAAACUCCUCUACUUAUGUGCCGCCUACAAAGCACUAGAGACUGUGGGAGAAAAGAAAGCCUUUUCAUCUGUAAUGCAGCUUGUAAUGACCAGCCUGCAGUCAAUUCUUGAAAAUGUGGAUACACCAGAAUUGCUUUGCAGAUGUGUUAAGUGCAUUCUUUUGGUGGCUCGAUGUUACCCUCAUAUUUUCAGCACUAAUUUUAGGGAUACAGUUGAUAUAUUAGUUGGAUGGCAUAGAGAUCAUACUCAGAAACCUUCGCUCAUGCAGCAGGUAUCUGGGUGGUUGCAGAGUUUGGAGCCAUUUUGGGUAGCUGAUCUUGCAUUUUCUACGACUCUUCUUGGUCAGUUUCUAGAAGACAUGGAAGCAUAUGCUGAGGACCUCAGCCAUGUGGCCUCUGGGGAAUCAGUGGAUGAAGACGUCCCUCCUCCAUCAGUGUCAUUACCAAAGCUGGCUGCGCUUCUCCGGGUAUUUAGUACUGUGCUGAGGAGCAUUGGGGAACGCUUCAGCCCAAUUCGGGUCCUCCAAUUACUGAGGCAUACGUAACAGU